rnacentral:lncRNA from 1 species
GCAAAACAUUGCUACAAGACAAUAUUUAGCUACUCGGCAAAAGAUAUUUUGUUUCUUAGGGUAGGUGGUAUCCUUUCCUCAUUUUACAUUCAGAUACCAACUGGAUUGACAGUUUUAUCUUCCUUUUCAAUACUAGAAAUAGAAGGAUUGAUUGCCUCAUCAACGCAAAGUGAGUACAACUUGAAUCUGCUCUAUCUGCUUGAAUCUGCUCUAGCUACUGUGUUUCUGUCUAGGCUGCUGAGUUCAAUUUGGUGAUCUUCUGACCUUAAUAAAACUUAAGGUACCAUUCUGUUUGGUGGGAUCAAUGUUCGUGUGAGUUGGAAUGGAACUGCAGCUUUGCAAGCUACCACUUAUCAUUAGUUCUGCCUUUUUUGACCUCCCAUCCACCACUGAGUAAUAGUGGCACUCAAGGCAAAAGUGUUAGCAAGACAGGCCAUGAGAGUACCUGUCACUCACAUUCUACAAAGGAGACUGGCCUAGAAAUUAAUAAGCAACAGGGACUUAGCUCGGUAGUAAUGCAAGCUGCCUGGAAAGCAGAGGGUUGCUGGUUUGAUCCCUAGCUUCUCCCCANAAGUAGGCAAUGGCAAACAAUUUCUGUUUCUCCCCUAGGAAAACUGCAUAAAGAUUCCCAUGGAGGCACCCAUGCAGUCAGCCAUGCAGCCACAACUCAAUGAUACCCAACAACAACAAGUAAUCUACCACUCAUACCUUCCUUCCAGCAUCUGCCAUCCAAGGUUUUUAAUGUACUGCAUUAACAUCAUGGAGCCCAGACAAGAAGAAAUGUAAACCUGACGCUGAUGAAGAUUUUGUUUGUUAGAGACAGGGCUGGCAUAAGUGAUAAACUGCUGGCUUCACAAUAGACUGUCACCCUGUAUUGCAAUUGUAGCUCUAUUAAGACUGUUUGACCUUGAAGGGCUUUAGCAUUAGAAUCAUGAAUGUUUAAAGAAGAUUACAUGCAUAGUGCACACUAUAAACUCAUACAAGUUGCAAAAGAAUUUGUGUCAUGGCUGACUCUCGGUUGACUAUGUAGUAUUUUGGCAGAGAUACAGAAGAGGUUUGCCAUUGCCUACUUCCACGGAGAGACUGAGGAUCAAACCAGCAACCCUCUGCUUUCCAAGCAGUUUACUCUACCACUCCCAGUGCAAAAUAAUACACUGCAUUUAUGUCUUCAAAUAUAUAUGCAUGUUUAUUUCACUUACAUGUUUAAAAUUUAC